GCUGGGUGUGGUGGCACAUACCUGUAGUCCCAGCUACAUGGGAGGCUGAGGCAGGAGAAUCGCUUGAACCCAGGAGGUGGAGGUUGCAGUGAGCUGAGAUUAUGCCACUGCACUCCAGCCUGGGUGACAGAGUGAGACUCUGUCUCAA
ensembl:misc_RNA Metazoa_SRP Metazoan signal recognition particle RNA